rnacentral:rRNA from 1 species
AUGCCCGGAGCAGCGCCGCCCUCGCCGGAGCAAGCACCAAGGUUGGCUCCGCCGACCGGUCCGCCUCAGCGCCUCCUCCCGCUCGCGCCUCCUCCUGCCUCGUCCUCGUUCCCGCGCCGCUGGUCGCCGGAAACCAGCAGGAGAAGCCCCGCCUCCGCUCAAGGACCCGUGCCAUUCACUGCUGCCUGCUCCGUUUUCCCUGCGCACCUCCCGGUCCCGUGCUGCACAGCCAAGUUGUCAUCGGUGGCCUCGUCAAUCACCACCCAGGCUGCUAUCUUGAACAGCUCCUCCACGGCUUCUAGUCUGUACGUGGAGUUCCAUCAGUUGCUAGAGCACCACGGAUCCACAAGUAGCUCUACGCACGGAUACACCAAGACCUGGCCCGGCUAG